AGUAACGCGUGGGUAACCUGCCUCAUACAGGGGGAUAGCAGCUGGAAACGGCUGGUAAUACCGCAUAAGCGCACGGUAUCGCAUGAUACAGUGUGAAAAACUCCGGUGGUAUGAGAUGGACCCGCGUCUGAUUAGCUAGUUGGUGAGGUAACGGCCCACCGAGGCGACGAUCAGUAGCCGACCUGAGAGGGUGACCGGCCACAUUGGGACUGAGACACGGCCCAG
rnacentral:rRNA from 1 species